AACGAACGCUGGCGGCAUGCCUAACACAUGCAAGUCGAACGAGACCUUCGGGUCUAGUGGCGCACGGGUGCGUAACGCGGGGGAACCUGCCCUUAGGUUCGGAAUAACUCCCCGAAAGGGGUGCUAAUACCGGUUAAUGUAUUCGGACCAAAGAUUUAUCGCCUUUGGAUGGGCCCGCGUUGGAUUAGCUAGUUGGUAGGGUAAAAGCCUACCAAGGCGACGAUCCAUAGCUGGUCUGAGAGGAUGAUCAGCCACACUGGGACUGAGACACGGCCCAGACUCCUACGGGAGGCAGCAGUGGGGAAUAUUGGACAAUGGGCGAAAGCCUGAUCCAGCAAUGCCGCGUGAGUGAUGAAGGCCUUAGGGUUGUAAAGCUCUUUUACCCGGGAUGAUAAUGACAGUACCGGGAGAAUAAGCUCCGGCUAACUCCGUG
rnacentral:rRNA from 1 species